rnacentral:rRNA from 1 species
UACGAAUUGUGCGAACGUUAUUCGGAAUCACUGGGCUUAAAGGGUGCGUAGGCGGCAAUGAAGGUCUGAUGUGAAAUCCCACGGCUCAACCGUGGAACUGCGUUGGAACCCACAUUGCUUGAGGAGAUCAGAGGUGAGCGGAACUGAUGGUGGAGCGGUGAAAUGCGUUGAUAUUAUCAGGAACACCAGUGGCGAAAGCGGCUCGCUGGGAUCUUUCUGACGCUGAAGUACGAAAGCUAGGGGAGUGAACGGG